UAUACAAUUUAACCCUGGUUGAAGUUGAAAUAUAUCUAAUGAUGCUAUAUACGUUUAUUAUAUUAUGCUAAUCCUUGAGCAUAUAAAUUUGAGGUGGUUGUAGUAGUGAGAUCUAUCGUUAUAAAGAAAUUUAGUGAUGGUUGUUAGAUAGUAGAAGAGGCUAAAGCACAGUGCCAGCAGCCGCGGUUAUACUGUAAUUCUUCUUAUUUCUUUUUUGGUUAAAACUUUUAUUGAAAUUUAAAUAAAAUUGGUUGGUUAAAUAGGUUUUUUUUUGAGAAUACUUCAAUGAUGUGUAAAGUUCCAGUAUAAAGACAGGGAUUAGAUACCCCUUUAUUAGGAUAAAAAAUUUUUGUCCACGGUUUCAAACUGAAAGGGUUUGGCAGCAAACUAAAUUCUUCCGGGGGAAGGUGCAUAUUAAAGAGAUGAUCCGCUUAUUAAUUUACUAUAUCUAGUGUUAGUGUAUAUCCGUUUGUAUAUUCACGCUUAGAGGUCAUAAGUGGGUAAAUAUUAAAUAAUU
rnacentral:rRNA from 1 species